CCUACGGGGGGCUGCAGUGGGGAAUAUUGGACAAUGGGCGAAAGCCUGAUCCAGCCAUGCCGCGUGUGUGAAGAAGGCCUUCGGGUUGUAAAGCACUUUCAGUGGGGAAGAAAGCCUUGGGGCUAAUACCCUCGAGGAAGGACAUCACCCACAGAAGAAGCACCGGCUAACUCCGUGCCAGCAGCCGCGGUAAUACGGAGGGUGCGAGCGUUAAUCGGAAUUACUGGGCGUAAAGCGCGCGUAGGCGGUCUGAUAAGCCGGUUGUGAAAGCCCCGGGCUCAACCUGGGAACGGCAUCCGGAACUGUCAGGCUAGAGUGCAGGAGAGGAAGGUAGAAUUCCCGGUGUAGCAGUGAAAUGCGUAGAGAUCGGGAGGAAUACCGGUGGCGAAGGCAGCCUACUGGACUGACACUGACGCUGAGGUGCGAAAGCGUGGGUAGCAAACAGGAUUAGAUACCCUAGUAGUC
rnacentral:rRNA from 1 species